rnacentral:rRNA from 1 species
UACGAGAGGCCCAAACGUUAUUCGGAAUUACUGGGCUUAAAGAGUUCGUAGGCGGCCAACUAAGUCAGACGUGAAAUCCCUCGGCUUAACCGGGGAACUGCGUCUGAUACUGGAUGGCUUGAGAUUGGGAGAGGGAUGCGGAAUUCCAGGUGUAGCGGUGAAAUGCGUAGAUAUCUGGAGGAACACCGGUGGCGAAGGCGGCAUCCUGGACCAACACUGACGCUGAGGAGCGAAAGCCAGGGGAGCAAACGGG